CCGAUGGUAGCUCAGUUGGUAGAGCGCGAAGCUUAUACCUUCGUCGUCCCAGGUUCAAGUCCUGGCCAUCGGACAA
rnacentral:tRNA from 2 species